AAACUCCGCAAUGCGCGAAAGCGUGACGAGGGGACCCCAAGUGCCGUUGGUCCUUUUGAUCGACGGCUUUUCGGAAGUCUAAGAAGCUCCCGGAAUAAGGGCUGGGCAAGGCUGGUGC
rnacentral:rRNA from 1 species